GAUGAACGCUGGCGGCGUGCCUAAUACAUGCAAGUAGAACGCUGGGGAGAGGAGCUUGCUCCUCUGGGGUUAGCGGCGAACGGGUGAGUAACGCGUAGGUAACCUGCCUCUUAGCGUGGGAUAACUUCGGGAAACCAUAGCUAAUACCGCAUAAUAUUUUAAACCACAUGUCUCAAAAUUGAAAGACGCAAUUGCUGCACUAUAAGGAUGACUCGCGUCUUAUUUGGCAGUAGGUGAAGUAACGGGUUACCUAGGCGAAGGUACAUUGACGACCCGAGAGGGGGGUCGGCCAACCUGGGACUGGGACCCGGGCCAGACUCCUUCGGGGAGCAGCAGUAGGGGAUCUUCGGGAAUGGGGGCAAAGCUGGCCGGGCAACGGCGCGUGGGUGGAGGAGGUUUUCGGGUCGUAAAGCUCUGUUGAAAGUCGAGGACGGGUGUGGGAGUGGAAAGUUCACACUGUGACGGUAGCUUACCAGAAAGCGACGGCUAACUACGUG
rnacentral:rRNA from 1 species